CUUUGACGUUAGCGGCGGACGGGUGAGUAACACGUGGGUAACCUACCUAUAAGACUGGGAUAACUUCGGGAAACCGGAGCUAAUACCGGAUAAUAUUUCGAACCGCAUGGUUCGAUAGUGAAAGAUGGUUUUGCUAUCACUUAUAGAUGGACCCGCGCCGUAUUAGCUAGUUGGUAAGGUAACGGCUUACCAAGGCGACGAUACGUAGCCGACCUGAGAGGGUGAUCGGCCACACUGGAACUGAGACACGGUCCAGACUCCUACGGGAGGCAGCAGCG
rnacentral:rRNA from 1 species